rnacentral:siRNA from 1 species
UAGUCUCAGUUCACUGUUGUCUGC